rnacentral:rRNA from 1 species
UACGGAGGGGGCAAGCGUUGUCCGGAAUCAUUGGGCGUAAAGAGCGUGUAGGCGGCGUGGUAAGUCCGCUGUGAAAGUCCAGGGCUCAACCCUGGAAUGCCGGUGGAAACUGUCAAGCUUGAGUCCGGAAGAGGCGAGUGGAAUUCCUGGUGUAGCGGUGAAAUGCGCAGAUAUCAGGAGGAACACCAAUGGCGAAGGCAGCUCGCUGGGACGGUACUGACGCUGAGACGCGAAAGCGUGGGGAGCAAACAGG